rnacentral:misc_RNA from 1 species
AAACUUUUGAAUUUUCCAAGUGUAGGUAUUGCUAUUAGCAAGCUCCUUCACAAUAGAUACGCAUUCACCUUUGGUAGUACGUUCUAUAACAAAAAUCUCAGCACCAAAUAUGCAACAAUCAUCAACAAGAUAUCCAUUUGAGGCAUCAUUAAAAGCAUUGAGAGAAACUAAUUUGUCAAAACCCCAUUCUGUUUUCGCUCCACGAAAACGCCUUACCUUGUCCUUUGCAUCUUGAACAACCAAAUACUUAUCCUGAAUUUGAUUAUAAACAAACAACUUGAAGUACACAUUAACCUCUUUAUGCAAGGGGAAUGCAUUUGAUUCAGCUAGUACUAAAUACAGAGAAACAUGUUCAUUCUUGUCAUUUACUUUCUUGUUUCCUUUAGGGUAAAGAGACAACCUCCAUUUGUAUCCA